rnacentral:rRNA from 1 species
UACGUAGGCAGCAAGCGUUGUUCGGAGUUACUGGGCGUAAAGGGUGCGUAGGCGGCUUUUUAAGUUUGGUGUGAAAUCUCCCGGCUCAACUGGGAGGGAGUGCCGCGAAUACUGAGAGGCUAGAGUGUGGGAGAGGAAAGUGGAAUUCCUGGUGUAGCGGUGAAAUGCGUAGAUAUCAGGAGGAACACCGGUGGUGUAAACGGCUUUCUGGACCAUAACUGACGCUGAUGCACGAAAGCGUGGGUAGCAAACAGG